CCCCUAGAUGUUCUGGGCCGCACGUGCGCUACACUGAACAGUUCAACAAGUCUUAACCUUGGCCGAUAGGUCUGGGUAAUCUUUGAACGCUGUUCGUGAUUGGGAUAGACCUUUGCAAUUAUGGGUCUUCAACGAGGAAUUCCUAGUAAACGCAAGUCAUCAGAUCGCGUUGAUUACGUCCCUGCCCUUUGUACACACCGCCCGUCGCACCUACCGAUUGAAUGGUCCGGUGAAAUCUCGGGACGGCGGCUCGGUCGCUUGCGUCCGACUGCUGAAACUUGAUUAAACCAUAUCAUUUAGAGGAAGGUGAAGUCGUAACA
rnacentral:rRNA from 1 species